rnacentral:rRNA from 1 species
CCCUUAGAUGUUCUGGGCCGCACGCGUGCUACACUGAGUGGAUCAGCGGGUCAGGUUGCGCGAAAGUGUUUCCUAAUCUUGAAAUCCGCUCGUGAUGGGGAUUGACGGUUGCAAUUUUCCGUCAUGAACGAGGAAUACCUUGUAAGCGCGGGUCAUCAUCCCGCGCUGAAUACGUCCCUGCCCUUUGUACACACCGCCCGUCGCUCCUACCGAUUGAGUGGUCCGGUGAGGCUUUGGGAUCUGAGCGGAAAGAGCGUUUCGCUGUUUCUGCUCGGAAAACUCAAUCGAACCUUAUCAUUUAGAGGAAGGAGAAGUCGUAACA